AGCGAACGUUAGCGGCGGGCCUAACACAUGCAAGUCGAGCGAGAAAGUGGCUUCGGCCAUCAGUAAAGCGGCGGACGGGUGAGUAACACGUAGGUAAUCUUCCCUUGAGCGGGGGACAACGUUUCGAAAGGAACGCUAAUACCGCAUAAGUUUCCGAGGUCUCCGGGCUUUGGAAGGAAAGCUAGGUCGCAAGAUCCGGCACUCGAGGAGGAGCCUGCGUCGCAUCAGCUAGUUGGUGGGGUAAUGGCCUACCAAGGCGAAGACGCGUAG
rnacentral:rRNA from 1 species